ACAAGAACAGGAGGGAAGUCUGGGGGAAAUCUAAGGCCCAGAAAGAGGAAGAGGCUGUCCCCUAGGGCUGGAAGUGUUAUUAUGGAUUCUGUUGACCUCUGAAGCUUCUGGAACUUGGGAGAAGUCUCGGUAAAGGGGAAGCCCGUGGAGAACCUGGAACACGGUCGUGAUGAUUCUGACCCUUGGUACUCUUCUCUCCAUUCUCACAGCCAAAGAUCUGAGGAGGAUUUGUGCUUUUUGAAGCAAAAUGAUUCGGGUAAUUCUGAUGUACUCAAGAAAAGUCUUCUCAGAAAACAAAAGAAGACAUGUUCUUCCCCUUCAGAUUAAGCAGUCCUAGGGAAUGAUCUCAAAGGCUUCAUUUUAUUGGUACAAUUAAUCACUGGCCGUUCUUUCUGAUGACUCAUGCACAUUGGGAUUUGGAAAUUUCUUGGUCCGCUUCGGAAUACGUUGCCUUCGCUGCUGGGAGGCCAGAGGAGCCUCCCUGCUGACUUCAGACCCUAGAAGCUCUGAGGUCAGUGAUGACGACCAGGAGAAAGCAAGACAGCCACUCCCGCAGGAGGAGGAGAAAGGGCGCCUUCUAGUUGCCAGGAUGGAGCCGAUCAGAAGCCCAGAUAUCUCCCUCCUGCCUCAGACCACCCAACAGAUGCCCGAUGACGAGCACAGUUAUCAGAAUGAGCACUGAACAAUGUGGACAAUUGCUGAACCGCUAUGCUGCACACCUGAAGCUAAUAUAACACUGGAAUUAAAAUUGUCUUUUUUUAAAAGAUUUUAUUUAUUUAUU